rnacentral:lncRNA from 1 species
CUAAUAUAGUUCUUGGAGGCUUCAGGCCCCAGCUGGGAUGCCUCACAAAGCGAAUCUGGGGUAGAUUUUCAAUAAACUCCUCACUUAUCUCCUGCUGCAGCCAAGCCCCCAGGACCCCAUCUCCUUGGAGGAGCCAAGUGGGGUGGCUGCAGCCUCUGCAAGCAAGCUGACUCCUUUGGGGCAUAAUUCACCCUUUCUCAUAGCCUCUGUCCCCCGAGGCCAAGCCUACAGGGUCCAUCUCUGCAGAUUUUCUGCCCACGAGUUCCCUGGAGCACAGAGAACACUCCCAAGAGAGAGAGUCCUUGUCACACCACUCAUGAUCUCCCAGGCUGCUUCUCUCCAGUGCUUAGCACAUGGAGAUGCAUUCAUUUUUUUGUGAGCACAUUUAUUGACUGCGUGGCUCCCAUGCCAGCCUGGACACUCUGUGAGGCCAGGCUCUGCCUCUGGUUUCCCCACUCAGUCCCCAGCACCCAGCCUAGUCCUGGUGCAUAGGAGAUGCUUGCCACACAGCUGCUGUGUGGGUGGAUGGACGGAUGCAUGAAGAAUCCGUGGUGCGGAGCACAUGGGGAAGUGGCCUUUGUUCUUCCAUAUAGAACAGCAGAGGCGGGAAGACCAAGGAUCAGAAAUUCCAGAGGUGGGGAGGACGGUGGAAGUGGAUGCACCUGGGGGACCGUCUCAGAGGGGCUGGCCCACUCCUACUGUGCCAGAUCUGGAGGUGUGCCCCUGUCUGAACUCCAUCCUGCCUGCUGCCCAGCAACUCCCUGGCUUCCUCCCUGUCACAUGGGACUCCCGCACCCGGUGCUGUCCAGGGACCCCCCACACUCCACACCCUCCGGACCUCGCAGGACAUUUCCAGGUCUGGCCACAAGGUGGAGCGUGGCAGCUGCAGGACAGUGCUGGGGGCCGGGCUGCAGAGGAGCCUGGACCUGCGCCCGGUGACCUCCCCGCUCUGUGAACGUGUGGGAGUUUGUGUCUGUGCAUCCAGAGAACCAGAGGGCUGUGGUUGACUUGCCGUGCUCCCCCCAACCCCCCACUGGGAUUGCCUGGGUCUCUGGGGGAUCACUGAGAAGCUGGAUAAAGAGGGCUGGCACUGUUGCCUCGGCUCACUAAUGCCUCAUGGUUUUACAGGUGAGGAGACUGAGGCCCAGAGAAGGAAGUCACGUGCUGAGGUCACUGACUAAUCAGUGGCUGAUCUGGUCGAACCCAGAUCUCUUGAGCUGUAAGGUCUCUGCUUUUCCUGUGGCAUGGAGAGGGGCUUCUCCCACCUAGGGAGGGGAGAUCCUGUUGUACUAGGGAGGCAGGGGAUUAAAGAUGGACUGAGAGGU